AGAGUUUGAUCAUGGCUCAGAUUGAACGCUGGCGGCAUGCCUUACACAUGCAAGUCGAACGGCAGCACGGGAGCAAUCCUGGUGGCGAGUGGCGAACGGGUGAGUAAUACAUCGGAACGUGCCCAGUAGUGGGGGAUAACCCGGCGAAAGCCGGACUAAUACCGCAUACGACCUACGGGUGAAAGCAGGGGAUCGCAAGACCUUGCGCUAUCGGAGCGGCCGAUGUCAGAUUAGCUUGUUGGCGGGGUAAAAGCCCACCAAGGCGACGAUCUGUAGCUGGUCUGAGAGGACGACCAGCCACACUGGGACUGAGACACGGCCCAGACUCCUACGGGAGGCAGCAGUGGGGAAUUUUGGACAAUGGGCGCAAGCCUGAUCCAGCCAUGCCGCGUGCGGGAAGAAGGCCUUCGGGUUGUAAACCGCUUUUGUCAGGGAAGAAAAGCUCCGGGUUAAUACCUCGGAGUCAUGACGGUACCUGAAGAAUAAGCACCGGCUAACUACGUGCCAGCAGCCGCGGUAAUACGUAGGGUGCAAGCGUUAAUCGGAAUUACUGGGCGUAAAGCGUGCGCAGGCGGCUUUGCAAGACAGAUGUGAAAUCCCCGGGCUUAACCUGGGAACUGCAUUUGUGACUGCAUGGCUGGAGUGCGGCAGAGGGGGAUGGAAUUCCGCGUAGCAGUGAAAUGCGUAGAUAUGCGGAGGAACACCGAUGGCGAAGGCAAUCCCCUGGGCCUGCACUGACGCUCAUGCACGAAAGCGUGGGGAGCAAACAGGAUUAGAUACCCUAGUAGUCC
rnacentral:rRNA from 1 species